ACCCGCCGCAGCGGGAGAGACCGGCGUCAGCCGGCGCCGAAGGAGCAACCGCCCCGGAAACUCUCAGGCAAAAGGACCGCGCGGCAUCA
rnacentral:ncRNA from 2 species